UGGGGAAUUUUGGACAAUGGGCGAAAGCCUGAUCCAGCCAUGCCGCGUGCAGGAUGAAGGCCUUCGGGUUGUAAACUGCUUUUGUACGGAACGAAAAGCCUCUUUCUAAUAAAGAGAGGUCAUGACGGUACCGUAAGAAUAAGCACCGGCUAACUACGUGCCAGCAGCCGCGGUAAUACGUAGGGUGCAAGCGUUAAUCGGAAUUACUGGGCGUAAAGCGUGCGCAGGCGGUUUUGUAAGACAGAGGUGAAAUCCCCGGGCUCAACCUGGGAACUGCCUUUGUGACUGCAAGGCUGGAGUGCGGCAGAGGGGGAUGGAAUUCCGCGUGUAGCAGUGAAAUGCGUAGAUAUGCGGAGGAACACCGAUGGCGAAGGCAAUCCCCUGGGCCUGCACCUGACGCUCAUGCACGAAAGCGUGGGGAGCAAACAGGAUUAGGAUACCCUGGUAGUCCACGCCCUAAACGAUGUCAACUGGUUGUUGGGUCUUCACUGACUCAGUAACGAAGCUAACGCGUGAAGUUGACCGCCUGGGGAGUACGCCGCAAGGUUGAAACUU
rnacentral:rRNA from 1 species